GAUGGAGGUAAGAGUGUCAAAUGUAGAAAUCUGUAAUUUGGCUUAUACUGGGAAGUUUGAAGAACUGGAGAAAUGCGUGUUGUCUGACAGCUCACAAGCGACGAGAACAGAUCAGGUAUGUGGGCAGUGUAGGUGCACAAACACAGUUUCAGCAUGAUGCUAUAUUGAAGUCUGUGCAUUGAUUCAGAAGUUUGACGCAGGACUGCUCUGCACUGGGCUUGUUCAGCUGGACAUGUGGAAAUCGUGCAGUUUCUGUUGGAUCUUGGAGCUGAAGUGGAUCUCAAAGAUGAUAUAGCCCAGAUUUUGCUGGAAAACGGUGCAGAUCCUAAUGCGACGGACAAACUGGAAUCCACACCUCUACACAGAGCAUCUGCCAAGGGCAACUACCGACUCAUUCAGCUUCUUUUGAAAGAGAGUGCUUCUACCAACAUUCAAGACUCAGAGGGAAACACUCCACUUCAUCUUGCAUGUGACUAGGAGCGAACGGAGGCUGUUCCUUGUGGAACAUGGUGCCAGCAUCUACAUUGAGAACAAGGAAAAGAUGACGCCUCUACAAGUGGCUAAAGGUGGCCUGGGAUCUGUGUUGAAACGGAUCGUAGAGGGUUGAUGGACCCAGGGCAGAAAUGGAGCAAUGCACUUAGAGCUGUUAAUCAAGCUGCUGUUCAAGUAGGAUGAAUACUUGUUUAUGAGAGUAUUUG